UACAAAGGCAGAUCUGUAACAGAGAAAACGUUCUUCGGAGUUUAUCCUCUGUCCACAGACAGUUACUUUUGUUUUCGACAGCUGAACGAUGAAACAAAUAAAAGAACGAGAGAACAGGGUGCCGUCUAGUAGGUGAGUACGUGUGUAUAGCUUGGUAAAACAACCCUUGGCGUUGUGACCAUAGCCUUCAAACAACAGAACGAAAUUACAGAACCGCAAUAAAAGUUUUACGUGAGAAACCGGGCAGCGAAGAGAGCAGAUUCAGUCAAGUUGGGGAUCGAUUAAGGCAAAAACUUUACAGCGUUAAGUGAUAAAUGGUGUUCACAAUUAUAAAUAAUUAGUAUGAAUGUACUUUGCUAAAUAAAAAAUUUUACUGCU